AUACGUAGGUGGCGAGCGUUGUCCGGAAUUACUGGGCGUAAAGGGUGCGUAGGCGGCAUGGCAAGUCAGAUGUGAAAUCCCCGGGCUUAACUCGGGAGUUGCAUUUGAAACUGCUGUGCUUGAGUGCAGGAGAGGAAAGCGGAAUUCCUAGUGUAGCGGUGAAAUGCGUAGAUAUUAGGAGGAACACCAGUGGCGAAGGCGGCUUUCUGGACUGUAACUGACGCUGAGGCACGAAAGCGUGGGGAGCAAACAGGAUUAGAUACCCUGGUAGUCCACGCUGUAAACGAUGGAUACUAGGUGUGGGGGAGAUACAACCUCCGUGCCGGAGCAAACGCAAUAAGUAUCCCGCCUGGGGAGUACGGCCGCAAGGCUGAA
rnacentral:rRNA from 1 species